UUAGUUUACUCCAGUGUAGAAGUGUCAUGGUUCCUUAUUCCGUUUGCUAUGCGGCGUCCUGGGUUGUGCUAAUUGACGCCGUUUCGUGCUAAUCGGCUGUGCUGUUUCAGGGGGUGCAUGUGAGGCAGAGGGAACCCAAAGGACACCAUUACCAUGCCCAGGAGAGCCAGGAACAGGAGCGAUGAGUGAGGAGAAGGAAAGAGCAGAAGCAUCUACAACCGCUCGUCCCUCUACUGAAUCAAACAAACGGCAUGACACAAUCUGGAGGCUUAGAUGCAUCGCCAUGCUCCUCUAAAUUGCAUAUUAUAGUACAUCUCCCUGCUUAGGCUGCCUAUUUUAUCAGCUAGUUUAAUUAUCUCUUUCUAUAACCUGCUCAACCAUUUUAUGUUUGCUCUGCUAGAUUCCGCAUUACAUUUCUGUUACCGUUCAUUCAAUCAAUAUUAUUACACCAGGCUGGCCCGCAGAGGAUUUGUUCCCCCUCUAUAGCAGGGUUCUUCUGGAGAUUUCUUAUUUUUUCCAUUUCAGUGUUUUUUUUUUUCUUUAUUUACUUCAAUUUCAAACUUUUUAGGGGUUCAGGCUUGGCAUUUUGCCCAAUUUUCUUUUGUAUAUCCACAGUAAAAUGUAUUUGUGACAGUGUUUCUGGAAAAGCACCAAAGAUAUUAAAUUGAAUUAAAUACUUACUAUAUGUAAAACUACCUGUGCUUAUCCUGGUACCAAAUAUA